ACAUCUCCCAUGGUUGGCUGGAAGUCUCGGCUGCUGCUGCUUCGACGCUGUAAUCAUCUCUCAAUACUACCUGUACCGUCCGAAGACACCGCUAGCAGAGGACACCGAACGAGCGGGCCUUCUCAAUUCACAAGACGACUCCGAUUAGAAUUAAAAAAUCGACUAGUUUUUAAAUUAAUUUUUCUGAAAAAAAAAUUGGUCUGAAAUCGGUUGAAAAUCGAUUUUUCCCCAAUUUUUCCACCUUAAUUUGUUCUUGUAACCCUCCAUUUUUUGAUAUAUUUUUCUCAUGUUCUAACUUAAAUUAUACUUAUAUCUAUAUAUACAUAUUUUGUACUAACCUCCCCCACCACCAAAAGGGUGUUGAAAAUUUUUAGAUUGUUCGGCGUUUAUUUCAGAAAAAAAAAUGACAUAAGAUUGAAAUGUUUUCUACAAAUCGAGAACGUAUAGAAAUUUUUUUAAACCGUUUUUUUAUCUGAAAAACCGAACAAUUAAUUUUUCGAAAAAAUCAGCCAGCCGCUCAGCCCUGCCCGACACCCUUACCACUCUUAGCUCCCCCUCCCCCCCCCCCCCCAAAAAAUUUGUAAUUUAAAUUUUGUCUGUAAUUUUGUCACCCGUCCCGAAUCUUGUCCUAUGCGCGUAUUAUGUGAUGAAAAAACCACGUGGCAUUUGAAUUUUUCUUGAAGAAAACCGAAUUUUCCCCUUUUUUUUAAAGUUUUUUCGACCCAAUUUUCAGUUUUAACGGCUGUAGUUUAUAUUUUGUGUGAUGUGUGAACCGAUUUUAUAGAUUUUCAGAAACAUUUCAGGUUUCUCGACGGGUUUUAGCCAUGACCAACAUGCAGCAUUAUAUGGAUGAUAUCAACGAUUG
rnacentral:sRNA from 1 species